GACGAACGCUGGCGGCGUGCCUAACACAUGCAAGUCGAGCGAGGAACUUCGGUUCCUAGCGGCGGACGGGUGAGUAACACGUGGGUAACCUGGCCCAUAGAGGGGGAUAGCCUCCCGAAAGGGAGAUUAAUACCGCAUAAGAAGUGAGAACCGCAUGGUUCUAGCUUUAAAGGAGUAAUCCGCUAUGAGAUGGGCCCGCGGCGCAUUAGCUAGUUGGUGAGGUAACGGCUCACCAAGGCGACGAUGCGUAGCCGACCUGAGAGGGUGAUCGGGCACAUUGGAACUGAGACACGGUCCAGACUCCUACGGGAGGCAGCAGUGGGGAAUAUUGCACAAUGGGCGAAAGCCUGAUGCAGCAACGCCGCGUGAGUGAUGACGGCCUUCGGGUUGUAAAGCUCUGUCUUUGGGGACGAUAAUGACGGUACCCAAGGAGGAAGCCACGGCUAACUACGUGCCAGCCGCCGCCGUAAGAC
rnacentral:rRNA from 1 species